rnacentral:misc_RNA from 1 species
CCAAAGAGUGAGAAAUCACUUUCUACCUGCUUGGUGGCCCUUGGGUCGCUGACUGGUCUACCCUUUGUGAACCAAAAAAUCUUUUCGCUUCGGCAGCUGGGCUUGACUGCCUGUCAGCCUGCCGUUAGCACCAACCUUUAAAACCUGUUGUCAAAACAUUGUCUGAUAACCAAAAUUUUCGAAUGAAAAUUA